rnacentral:rRNA from 1 species
UUAGGAAUCUUCCGCAAUGGACGGAAGUCUGACGGAGCGACGCCGCUUGGAGGAGGAAGCCCUUCGGGGUGUAAACUCCUGAACUGGGGACGAAAGCCCUGUGUAGGGGGAUGACGGUACCCAGGUAAUAGCGCCGGCCAACUCCGUGCCAGCAGCCGCGGUAAUACGGAGGGCGCGAGCGUUACCCGGAUUUACUGGGCGUAAAGGGCGUGUAGGCGGCCUGGGGCGUCCCAUGUGAAAGGCCACGGCUCAACCGUGGAGGAGCGUGGGAUACGCUCAGGCUAGAGGGUGGGAGAGGGUGGUGGAAUUCCCGGAGUAGCGGUGAAAUGCGCAGAUACCGGGAGGAACGCCGAUGGCGAAGGCAGCCACCUGGUCCACUUCUGACGCUGAGGCGCGAAAGCGUGGGAGCAAACC